CGUUACCAGAAGACGAUAUGGAAUCUCCCUGGAAAUUGCAAGUAAACAGACUAUAUCCCAGAUCCGUCGCAUUCUCCCAGGGUGGUUCAGAGGCAGCUUUACAGAGCCCUACAGAAACGGUCUAAAACCUGUGUCCCUCGUCCCUCUUUGGUUCAGUCUAGAGCCAGUUUUAAAAGUAGGUCUCCCUCCCUCUCUCCUCCCUGAGGCGUAUUCUCUCUGUGUAGCCCUGGCUGUCCUGGAAUUCAUUCUGUAGACCAGGCUGGCCUAGAACUCAGAAAUCUGCCUGCCUCUACCUCCAGUGUGCUGGAAAUAGGGACGUGUACCACAACAGCCUAGCUAGAAAUGGUUACACAUGAAACCAUCUUCCAUUAGCGCCUUAGUCUAGUACCUCAGUCAUGUGAGGGGUUGGGACUGUGCAACUUCCCUGUGGCAUCCAUGUGUGUACAAUGCUACA
rnacentral:lncRNA from 1 species